CUCAGAGCAGGGUGAGGAUUGGGAAGCGCUCGCUAUCCAGAUGCUCCUCAAAGGGGGAGCAGGAGAAUCCAUUCCAAUUCCCCAAAACCAAAAUAAUCACAAGAGACAACACACAAAAAUCAUUGUUUAACUGUGAAGAAACAUGGUACACAUCCAUUUAAAUAAACAAUCUAAUUUACCCAAAUACAAGAAUCUUGGAAAGCCUUUUGUUCUGUAGUUUAUGUGUGUGCUUUUGAGUUCAACACAACAUUUAAUCAGUUUUACCUCAUCAGUCGAGAGCUGAUCAGGUGCAUUUAGAUAAACGGACAGAUCCAUGUUUAUCUGCUGGUUGUGGCAAAGUAUGAGAUUUGUUGUAAAAUACAUGAAAUUUAAAUCUAAGACUGGUCACCUUGUCGUUUGUCGUUUUAAUGAAUGAAUGCUGAUAGAUUUGUUGACCACACGAGGGAGCAGAUGUCUUUGAGUCUGCUCGUGAGUGAAACUGAAGCGCAGUUGUUCCUCCGCUCCACUAGGCGGCGGAAGCGGCUUCACGUUCAGUCUGAGCGCUUCGGAUGAGUGACAGAAUGACGCUUGUUGUGACAACAUGUGCAGACCGUUUAAAAUACAGAUCCUGCAGAUGACAGCUCAGUGACAGUGUUUUUAAUGUCAUUAAACAGCAUCUAUUCCAGCACAUAAACAAACAAAACCGACACCUGCUGCGAUAAAGUGCAGGAAUCGAGAGUCACUAAUAAGGGAUGUGUUUGGUCAGAAGCAGAGCUCUGGGACGUGUGGACAGACAUUGACUGUAAUGAUGGACAUCUGCUCAGGGACAGUCUGUGCAAAAGUAUAACCACUGUGGGUCACGGUGCUGGAAGCUCCAGGGGGAGACCGUACUGAUAUCCCCCUUCUUCAGGCGCGCCUUCACACACACUCCUCCAUUCACUCGUAUCGCAGAGACCUGGCUGGGAUCAAACCAGCAACCUCUGAACCAUGAGGCAGCGCUCUUACCUGUGAGCCACAGAUCUCUUGUUGAAAAAAGUGAAGGAACUUAUAUUUCACUGUUAACUUGUAAUUUCACAAUAAACUAGUUAAAGCUUUCAAUUGUGGUUGUCAUUUGAAACGCUGCAGUGGGACUUGAACCCAUGCUUCAAUCAUAGCCUUGCACGCAAUGAACAUUGUUUAGCCACUAGUUCCACUGUGGCUCUUACGCUGAGUGAUGGCAUUUGGGGCACUUUGUUGGAUAUAAGGCCAACAAUUUAACAUAAGCAUUAAUGGGGUUCGAACUCAGAUCUCCUUGAUUAAACCACAACGCUUUAUGAACUGAGCCACUAA